UCUCAGUCGCAAUGGAGUUUGUUGACUAAUCAUUCAAAUACAAACCUACCUUAUUCAUCAUUGUCCUACAUAUUUUCGAUUGAUAACACAUAUAUAACUCUAACCCUAGAUUUACUUCAAUCAGAUUUAAGGUUCCUUCUGCAGAAAUUGAAAGUUAGGGUUUGAGGUUAUGUUAACGUUCUGAGAUGAAUCGUGGUUUUUCUGCAAGAAUUGAGAUUGAAUAGGUUUGUUGAGAUUGAUAUAGAAUGAGGAUGAGGUAAGGAAGAAGAGGAACCCAUUGUUCCCAAUAAAAGAGGUCGAAAGGAACUCAUAUAACACUGUGGUCGUUGCCUGAGAAUAAAGGCGGCAUGGAGGAUGCUGGAUCCAGAUUGGUCAAUGUUUGGAUCAGGCAGAUGCCAGAUACCAAGUAAAUGACAAGUGCUUGAGGGUGAUAAGGAGUAUCAGGAGUUGGUUCCGAAAUUAAACCAGCCCGGAAGGAUUCCUGAUCAAGUGGCGUUCCUUGUGAUGAGUUUAAAGGGUUUAUCUGGAGAUGUUACAUCUAUUGAUAUCGUUCGACAUGAGACGCUUCUGCAAGCUGUAAGUUCGUGAGUUGAAUAUUUCCUCGCAGUCUCGCUGGUUAGUGCAACUUAUGAUCGUCGUGAUCACAGUUACAUUGUAUCAAUAAGACACUACCCUGCUUCUGAGGUUAUUCUUGUUGGGUUUUUGCAAGACUUGGAUGGAGUUACCCUUGUGAUAUUUGGAGUCUUGGUUGUAUCUUAAUUGAGCUAUGCUCGGGAGAGACAUUGUUUAAGACGCACGAGAACUUAGAGCACCUGGCCAUGAUGGAGAGGAUAUUGAGGUCAAUACCAAGUCACAUGUUGAAGAGAGUUGGAUACGUGAUUUCAUCUUUUUAAGUUCUCUUGGUGGUUAUUUUGAAAAUGUUCCAUCUGGUAACUUGUCCAUUUCGUUGUCAAAUAUCAUGCCGAGGAAUAUACAAUUAUACAUAAACAAGGGAAGAUUGAAUUUCCCAGAGAGUGCGGUAUCCAAGGAAAUCAUUAAAGUUGUUUCGAAGUUGCCACAUUUACCGGUUCAGGUUGGAAGAUCACCAAUUUAUAAAUUUGAUGGGCUACUUGUUUGAUGGGUUGUAAAUCAAAUGUGGAAUGGUUAACCUUGUUGAUCUUGCUGGGUCCAGGAGCUUCAUAAUGCUCAGUUAUUGUUGACAGCAGAAAUGAGUGAAAAACUCGAAAAGACUCAGGUAAUUUACUAUUGGAGUGGUUAUGCUCGAAACUUUUUUUUUUUAAUCUUUUUCUUUGCUGUACAAAAACUUAUUGUAUUUUCUGUUACUUUUCGCCUGCAUAAUAAACUCGAGAAUGCUGAACAUUCACUUUUCGAUCUAGAACAGAGAUAUAGACAAGAAAAUGCGACCAUCAAAGAAAAAGAAUUUUUGAUCUCUAAUCUCCUUCGAGCAGGUGAGCGAGAAUCUAUUUUUAUUUCUUCAGUUAGCUUAUUGUUGCAUAUGAGCAGCAGAGAUUCCUAUUUCUUCAGUACCCAAGAAAACAUUGUUGUUGGAUACUUAAUAUGGAUUGCCUCUUCAUAUUCCCACCACACAACCUUUGUUUUGUGCAUGCUUGAUGUCUUUUGGCCUAGUAGUACCAGUACCCUUGGUUUAUGCUUAUUGUUAUUGUUACAUUCUUGGUUGAAGCCUGAUGUUUGACCUGGUUGAAUUGAAAAUUUCCUUCCUAA